rnacentral:rRNA from 1 species
UACGGAGGAGGCAAGCGUUAUCCGGAAUUAUUGGGCGUAAAGCGUCCGCAGGUGGCGAUUCAAGUCUGCGGUCAAAGACUGGGGCUUAACCCUGGAAGGCCGUGGAAACUGAAUAGCUAGAGUGCAGUAGGGGUAGAGGGAAUUCCCGGUGUAGCGGUGAAAUGCGUAGAGCUCGGGAAGAACAUCGGUGGCGAAAGCGCUCUGCUGGACUGCAACUGACACUCAGGGACGAAAGCUAGGGGAGCGAAUGGG